rnacentral:rRNA from 1 species
GACGUAGGGGGCCAGCGUUGUUCGGAAUUACUGGGUGUAAAGGGUUCGUAGGCGGUGUAGCAAGUCGGGAGUGAAAUCUCUGGGCUUAACCCAGAGGCUGCUUCCGAAACUGCUGUGCUUGAGUGUGGGAGAGGCGCGUGGAAUUGCAGGUGUAGCGGUGAAAUGCGUAGAUAUCUGCAGGAACACCCGUGGCGAAAGCGGCGCGCUGGACCACUACUGACGCUGAGGCGCGAAAGCGUGGGGAGCAAACAGG